CUGGAUCCUUGGGAUGUCCAUACGUCAAUCAAGUAUAAAUGUAAAAUGGUUAAGGUUAGUUUUAGUUAAGGGUUAUAGUUUAGGGUUCAGGGUAGGGACGUCCCAAGGAAACCGGAUAGAUGUGACCGUUCAUAGAGUGAGAGACAGGCACGGUAUUUGAGAACUCUGCGCAGACAUUUGUUUUGUUUUUCUACAAGCAACAGACAUGAUUUUCGAGAGUGUCUGCCCCAGAUAGUUUCCUUAGAGACGAUGAAAAGAAUUACCAAGAUGUCCUUAAUCCGAUUGAGGAUCUCUUUAGGUUCUAGUCCUCCUGGUUUCGACCCUUGCCAGUCCUGACUCCAAACACUCCUGCCUAACCACUCUGCCUGUUCUGUCUUCAACCCUGCCUUCCAACUUGUACUGUUUGGACUCGGAUCUGUUUACUGAACCCCUGCCUGGCCUGACCUCGAGACUGCCCUUCGUCUGGUACUGUUUGGACUCGGACUCGGUUUAUGAACUCUCGCCUGUCCACCACCUACUUUUUGCCUACCCCUUGGAUUAAUAAAUAUCGGAGCUCAACCAUCUGCUUCCUGUGUCUGCAUUUGGGUCUCGCCUUGUGUCCUUAUAACCUGAUGUGAUCAAUAUGCCUUCGAGGACCACCUUCAAGUAUGGGCUGAGAAGGAUGUGGAGGUUUUUGACCAGGUGAGACUGAACAUGGACAGGGCGCAGGAGAAACAGAAGGAGAGCCACCAGAGGAGAAUCAAGGGGACCAAGUGCUUCAACAUCCAACAACUUCUUAGGGAUAGUUGUCCCGUCAGCAGGACACCUGUCGACAACAUCCGGUGAAAUUGGAGGGCGCGCAAUUCAAAUAAAUAAUCGGAAUAUUAAACAUUUAUGAACAUACAAGUACCUUAUAUCGGUUAAAAGCUUAAAUUCUUGUUAAUGUAACUGCAUUGUCCAAUUUACAAUAGGCUUUACAGCGAAAGCAUACCAUGCCAUUGUUUGAGGACGGUGCCCUACAUCAACCAGCACAGACUUCAUAAAAUCGCAAAUAGUGAUUAAAUAAUCACUUACUUUUUGAAAAUCUUCCUUUGUUUGCAAUCGCAAGGGUUCCAGCUACAACAUGCAUGGUCGCUUUGUUAGAUAAAAUCCUUCUUUAUAUCUCAAAAAGUCUGUUUAGU